CCCCCGCAUCGGAUGAACUAUCGCCAUGCGAGUCAUUGCAGUAAUGCAAGGCAGACGGCUCAGUAACGCGUAGUCAACCUACCCUAUGGACGGGAAUAACCUCGGGAAACUGAGUAUAAUGCCCGAUAGAACACUAUUCCUGGAAUGGUUUGUGUUCCAAAUGAUUUAUCGCCGUAGGAUGGGACUGCGGCCUAUCAGUUUGUUGGUGAGGUAAUGGCCCACCAAGACUAUUACAGGUACGGGCUCUGAGAGGAGUAGCCCGGAGAUGGGUACUGAGACACGGACCCAGGCCCUAUGGGGCGCAGCAGGCGAGAAAACUUUGCAAUGUGCGAAAGCACGACAAGGUUAAUCCGAGUGGUUUGUGCUAAACGAACCUUUUGACAGUCCUAGAAACACUGUUGAAUAAGGGGUGGGCAAGUUCUGGUGUCAGCCGCCGCGGUAAAACCAGCACCUCAAGUGGUCAGGAUGAUUAUUGGGCCUAAAGCAUCCGUAGCCGGCUCUGUUAGUUUUCGGUUAAAUCUGUACGCUCAACGUACAGGCUGCCGGGAAUACUGCAGAGCUAGGGAGUGGGAGAGGUAGACGGUACUCGGUAGGAAGGGGUAAAAUCCUUUGAUCUAUUGAUGACCACCUGUGGCGAAGGCGGUCUACCAGAACACGUCCGACGGUGAAGGAUGAAAGCUGGGGGAGCAAACCGGAUUAGAUACCCGGGUAGUCCCAGCUGUAAACCAUGCAAACUCAGUGAUGCAUUGGCUCGUGGCCAAUGCAGUGCUGCAGGGAAGCCGUUAAGUUUGCCGCCUGGGAAGUACGUACGCAAGUAUGAAACUCAAAUGAAUUGACGGA
rnacentral:rRNA from 1 species